rnacentral:sRNA from 1 species
AUUUCAUCUUCUCCUUGGAGCCUAUAAUAUAAUC